rnacentral:tRNA from 1 species
UUGAUAAGGGGGGGAUUAAAACCCCCCUAAACAGGGCUACAACCUGCCCCCUCCCAGUCGGCCCCCU